rnacentral:rRNA from 1 species
AAAAGGACAUUUCGUGGAUGCCUAGGUAUUGAGAGAAAAUAAAGGACGUAAAUAGAAAUACGAAAAGUUAUGGUGAUUAUAUAAAAUAAAAAGAUCCAUAAAUAUCCGAUGGGGAAACCCACUAUAAAAAUAGUAAAUAAUGGUAAAAACAUAGACCAUUAUUAAAAACUUAGCGAACUGAAACAUCUAAGUAGCUAAAGGAAUAAAAAUCAACCGAGAUUCUGUUAGUAGUGGCGAACGAAUAUGGAAAAAGGCAAUUUAAUAAAAAUAAAAUUAAAAAAGAUUGGAAAAUCUUGCCAAAGAAGGUGAAAGCCCUGUAUAAAUAGAUAUUUUAUUAAAUAAAAAGUAAAACGGAACACGUGAAAUUUUGUUUGAAAAUAGGUGGACCACCAUCUAAGCCUAAAUACUCAUCAAUAACCGAUAGUGCACAAGUACUGUGAAGGAAAGGUGAAAAGAACCAAAUAGGAGUGAAAUAGAACCUAAAACGGAAUGUCUAUAAGCAGUCAUAGCAAUAUAAUAUUGUAAUGGCGUACCUUUUGCAUAAUGGGUCAGCGAGUUUAUAAAUAUAGCAAGCUUAAGUCGUUAGAUAUAGGCAUAGUAAAAACAAAUUUUAAUAGAAUAUAUAGUUAUAUUUAUAAGACCCGAAAUCGAGUGAUCUAGCCAUGAACAGGUUGAAGAUGUGGUUAUACACAUUGAAGGACCGAACUCAUGUAUGUUGCAAAAUACUGGGAUGAUUUGUGGUUAGGGGUGAAAGGCUAAUCAAACUCGAAGAUAGCUGGUUUUCCGCGAAAUCUAUUUAGGUAGAGCGUUAUAAAAUAUUAAUUGAGGGUAGAGCACUCGAUGAGCUAGGGGAACACAUCGUUUUAUCAAACUCAACGAAACUCAUAAUAUUAAUUAAUAAAAAAUAUAACAGACAGACAGUGAGCGCGAAGGUUCAUAGUCAAAAGGAAAACAGUCCAGAUCAUAAGCUAAGGUCCCUAAAUAAUAACUCAGUGUGAAAAGGAUAUUAUAAGGUUAAGACAACCAGAAGGUGGGCUUGGAAGCAGCCACCCUUUAAAGAAAGCGUAACAGCUCACUGGUCGAAUGCUAUAUAAUACCGAAAAUGUAUAGGGUCUUAAGUUAUUUACCGAAGCUAUGAAUAUUUAUUAAAAAUAUGGUAGCGGAACGUUCUGUAUGUCGUUGAAAAUAAAUUGUGAAAUUUAUUGAAGAUAUCAGAAGUGAGAAUGCUGACAUGAGUAGCACCAAACAAUCAAUCAUUGUCGCCGAAAGUUCAAGGUUUUCUUAAGCAUUGAUGAACAGCUAAGUAGUUAGCCGGUCCCUAAAAUGAGGGCGAAAGCCAUAAUUGAUGGGAAUAAUAGAUGGAGAUUUCAUAGCCUGUUGAUUGUUACAAAUUAUUUAGGUUAUAUGAUUUUAUUAAAUUAUAUCUUAUAAAUAAAAUAAUUUCAGGAAAAAACACAACAAAUAGACCGUACCAAAACUGACACUGGUGAACUAGUAGAGUAUACUAAGGCGAUUGAGAUAAAAAUGUUGAAGGAACUCGGCAAAAUGACUCCGUAACUUCGGAAGAAGGAGUACCUAUUUUAAAUAGGUGACACAAAGCAGGGGGUAGCGACUGUUUAAUAAAAACACAGGACUCUGCAAAAUCGUAAGAUGAUGUAUAGGGUCUGACGCCUGCCCGGUGCUAGAAGAUUAAAAGGCGAGGUAUCAGCUUCAAAUUUAAAUCCUAGUAAACGGCGGCCGUAACCAUAACGGUCCUAAGGUAGCGAAAUUCCUUGUCGGGUAAGUUCCGACGUGCACGAAUGGCGUAACGACUUCCCCACUGUCUCCAACAUUUACUCAGCGAAAUUGAAUUCUCCGUGAAGAUGCGGAGUAUCUGCGGCUAGACGGAAAGACCCCGUGCACCUUUACUAUAUUUAUAUAGUGCUAAUAAAAGAUUAUUGUGUAGUAUAGGUGGGUUGCUUAUUAAAUCUUGAUGCUAGUCAAUUAUGAAGGCAAUAUUGAAAUACCACUCUUUAAUUCUUUUAUAGCUAAAACAAAUAUUCAUAAUCUGAAUAUUGAACACUGUAUGAUUGGUAGUUUAACUGGGGCGGUUAUCUCCUAAAGAGUAACGGAGAUGUACAAAGGUAAGCUCAAAUUAGUCAGAACCUAAUUGUUGAGUGUAAUGGCAUAAGCUUGCUUAAUUGUGAGACUAACAAGUCGAACAAAGACGAAAGUCGGUCAUAGUGAUCCGGUAGUUCUAAGUGGAAAGACUAUCGCUCUACGGAUAAAAGGUACGCCGGGGAUAACAGGCUAAUGACUCCCAAGAGUCCAUAUCGACGGAGUCGUUUGGCACCUCGAUGUCGGCUCAUCACAUCCUGGAGCUGAAGAUGGUUUCAAGGGUUCGGCUGUUCGCCGAUUAAAGUGGUACGUGAGCUGGGUUUAGAACGUCGCGAGACAGUUCGGUCCCUAUCUACCGUAGAUGUUGAAGAAUUGAGAGUACAUAACUUUAGUACGAGAGGACUUGGUUGUAUAUAGCUCUGGUCUAUAAGUUGUUAUGUUAAUAGCAUAGCUUAGUAGCCACCUAUAGAUAGAAUAACUACUGAAUGCAUAUUAAGUAGGAAUUUAUACUCAAAACAAAUUCUUCUAUUUAGGAGUUGUUAUAGAUUAUAACGAUAUAGAUUAUGUGUUAAAUAAUGGUAACAUUAUUGCUAAAUAAUACUAAUUUACUCCUAUAACCUUAUUAG